AUCCAGCUGACGAGUCCCAAAUGGGACGAAACGUGCAUCCUGGAU
rfam:Schistosoma rodhaini strain Burundi genome assembly, scaffold: SROB_scaffold0006429